GAGAGAAUCCUAAGGUGAGCGAGAGAACUCUCGUUAAGGAACUCGGCAAAAUGACCCCGUAACUUCGGGAGAAGGGGUGCUGAUCAUACGAUCAGCCGCAGUGAAUAGGCCCAAGCGACUGUUUAUCAAAAACACAGGUCUCUGCAAAAUCGUAAGAUGAAGUAUAGGGGCUGACGCCUGCCCGGUGCUGGAAGGUUAAGAGGAGUGCUUAGCGCAAGCGAAGGUACGAAUUGAAGCCCCAGUAAACGGCGGCCGUAACUAUAACGGUCCUAAGGUAGCGAAAUUCCUUGUCGGGUAAGUUCCGACCCGCACGAAAGGCGUAACGAUUUGGGCACUGUCUCAACGAGAGACUCGGUGAAAUUUUAGUACCUGUGAAGAUGCAGGUUACCCGCGACAGGACGGAAAGACCCCAUGGAGCUUUACUGUAGUUUGAUAUUGAGUGUCUGUACCGCAUGUACAGGAUAGGUAGGAGCCGUAGAAAUCGGAACGCUAGUUUCGAUGGAGGCGCUGGUGGGAUACUACCCCUGCGUUAUG
rnacentral:rRNA from 1 species